ensembl:lncRNA
AUGCAAAUUUUCCUGAAAAACAACUUGGAAUUGGAAUUUGACAUGAGGAUGACAAGCGAAACACAACAUCCUGGCAGGUUUAAGGAUGGGAUCAGUGGGAAGAGCAUGCACCACUCAUGUUCUGGGCUUAAUGUCACCAUGGACAAAAGAACUCCCUUAGAGGCUCCUACCCAUUCAGCAGAGCUUGCCAAGAAAUGCAGCAAUAUUACAGAAUAAAUCAUGAGUGUAUUUGGUCAUUGCUUUUCUGCAGUACCUUGAAUGAACCUUUGGAAAAAUUAAUCACUGUGAUAGGUUAAUAUUUGUAUAGAUUUUUUUUUUCUUUUCUUUUCUUUUUUUUUCUUUUCUUUUCUUUUCUUUUCUUUUCUUUUCUUUUCUUUUCUUUUCUUUUCUUUUCUUUUCUUUUCUUUUUUUUUUCUCUGUGAUCGUAUCAAAUGCUUUGGAAUGAUUUAGAGUGGAACAAACUAACUAAUUACGAUGUUCUGAUGCUUGUGUCGUUGUUUUCCCUCCAAAAAGUGACGUCUCUUCCUGGAAAAUGGAUGCCAUUAAAGUCACCUUUAUUUAUAUAGUGCUUUAAACAAAACAGAUUGUGUCAAAGCAACUGAACAACAUUAAUUAGGAAAACAGUGUGUCAAUAAUGCAAAAAGGAAUAGUACACUCAAAAAUGAAAAACUGCUGAAAGCGUGUUCACCCUCAGGCCAUCUGAUAUGUAGAUGAGUUUGUUUCUUCAUGGGAACAGAUUUGGAGAAAUUUAGUAUUACAUUUCUUGCUCACCAAUGGAACCUCUGCAGUGAAUGGUUGCUGUCAGAAUGAGAGUCCAAACAGCUGAUAAAAACAUCACAAUAAUCCACGAGUACCUUGCUUGAUCUGUACAUAUUUCUCUCCUGAUUCAAUGUAAUGAUAAAUUUCACCAAAUUUGUUCUGAUUAAGAAACAAAUUUUUAAAUUUUCAGCAACUUUUUUUUUUCCUUUAAUGAACUAAAAUGAUUUUAUGAAAUUCAAAGAUGAUGGAAAGUGCAUAUUAAUCUUUACAUUAAUGAAAAACUAUAUUCCCUUGCUUUGUUUGAAAUAUUUUGAUUGAAUAAAGGAAAAAUGAGACAGAGAGACAUCUGUAUGAGUGUUCAUUUUAUACAGGUGUCUUCAUUUAGCAAGCAUAAUUUGUCCUUGGAAAUCUGCCCACGAAAUGGAUUACUUCAUAAUGGGGCACAUUUGGUCCACUAGAGCACAAAGUGAGCACGAACCACGAGACAUAAUUAUGGAAGAUGCAUUUUUGUUCUUUUCUUUUCAUGAAAGCAUAUUUACAGCUUGUUUGAUUUAGGUUAGAAAUCAUGUGCAUUUAUGCUUUUCAAAAUGCUUUUCAUAAUGAAAAAUUUUUCAAUUAUUUAUGUAUUUAUUGCCCGCUGAAAUAAAAGGUCUGGCUGGUAUGUCAUAGCCUAUGUCUUAUUUGGCAUACAAAAAAAAAAAUAACUAAAUAAAAAUAGACAAAAAAAAAGUGUGAAUGUCUUUGCAUUUUUGUGGCUACUGUUGCUUCAAAUGUGUCAGUUAAUUCAAAUACUAAAUAAAGAGGGACACUGUUGAUUAUCCAUAUCUACUUCUGUGUUUAUAUGCCCACAAUAUGAGCAAACACCUAUUAAAUGUCUGAAAUAUUGACUCUUAAUAUUAAUUUAUUAAGCUUAAUAUUUAAUGGUCAAAAUAAUUAUGCUUUUUUAAAAAUGUUGAUGAGGAGCAGUAAUCAAUUAAAAAAGAAAUAAGCAUUGAUGAUGUUUUAUAUAUGUGUGUGUGUGUGUGUGUGUGUGUGUGUGUGUGUGUGUGUGUGUGUGUAAAGCUGUUUUGUGUUGUAUGUUGCUUCAUUUCUUUGAUAAAUCUGAGGUUUUACAGGGGCAUUUAUAAUGUAUCUCCAGCAUUGCUAUUUUGUGCUUUGGGUCUGUAGGAGAGACUUGAGGAGAGCUGCUGAGAGGUGUUUUGGCCUCAAGGACCCAUGAUGCAAAUGUGUUCCAUGGAGGCGUCAUAAAUAUGUCAUCUUUGUGCAUGCAUAGAAUAAAUAUGCUCAGGGCGAGUAAUCGCAGCUGUUAGUAAAGGUAAUUGUCUCCAGCUUGUUUCUUCUUACUCAUCAUUUUAUUAGAUUAGCCUUAGUGUGAGGGUGAUGGGUUAUGUAAAUGAAGUUAACUUUAGUUCAGAUUAUUACAGUAUUUUACAGAUUUAAAAUGAGCAAAAAUGAGUACCACAGAAAACCUUUGACUCUUUUUUUCUUAAACGUUACAUUUACAGUUUUUUUUUUUUUUUGCAUAAAAAAAUGCACAAUAUUUAUAGCUACAAGUAUAGUCACAAGACCAAAACUUUAUACAUAAUAAUGUGAGAGUAAUGUGAGAAAAUAUUCAUUAUUUAUUCAUUCAUACUAUUCUUUCUUUCUUUCUUUCUUUCUUUCUUUAUUUCUUUAUUUCUUUCUUUCUUUCUUUCUUUCUUUCUUUCUUUCUUUCUUUCUUUCUUUCACUCAUUUAAUAAUAAUAAUAAUAAUAAUAAUAAUAAUAGUAAUAAUAAUAAUAAUAAGUAUUUAUUAGGAAGUUCCUUGUUCCUUUAAUUAAAUUUGUCUUAUUAAAAUAAAUAAAUAAAUAAACAAAUCUUAAUCUCAACAGAAAACAGCAACAACAACAUUGUGUACAGGUUUCCUUAGUUUGUACUUCUGAAAGGCAAUUCAACAGUGCCUUCUUAUUCCAGAUGAGUUGCCAAGUCGGAUUUGUUUUGUCCUGAAUCACAUUUUCUCUCUCUCUCUCUCUCUCUCUCUCUUCUUUACAUAAAAUAAUCCCACAAUUCACAGUAAAUUGUACUUGCUUACUCAACCACUCAAGGCUCACUGAAGCAUACUUAUUUGCAAAUGCCUGCAAGGACAAGCUCUCAUUGCACUUGGUUAACUUUUAACACCUCCACUGAAACAGUGAAUGAUAUGACCUUCAGGUGAGCAGUCGAGUACACUUAGUCCACGUCCUCCAAUUUCGGCCCCCUUUCGACACACAUCGUAGAAAAAGGUGUUCAGAUCAUUCUCCGUGAUAAUGGAGAGAAGUCUCUCAUUCAGAGGUCAUCACAGG